AUACGUAGGGUGCGAGCGUUAUCCGGAAUUACUGGGCGUAAAGAGCUCGUAGGUGGUUUGUCGCGUCGUCUGUGAAAUUCCGGGGCUUAACUCCGGGCGUGCAGGCGAUACGGGCAUAACUUGAGUACUGUAGGGGAGACUGGAAUUCCUGGUGUAGCGGUGAAAUGCGCAGAUAUCAGGAGGAACACCGGUGGCGAAGGCGGGUCUCUGGGCAGUAACUGACGCGGAGGUGCGAAAGCAUGGGUAGCGAACAGGAUUAGAUACCCUGGUAGUCCAUGCCGUAAACGGUGGGCGCUAGGUGUAGGGGCCUUCCACGACUUCUGUGCCGUAGCUAACGCAUUAAGCGCCCCGCCUGGGGAGUACGGCCGCAAGGCUAAAACUCAAAGGAAUUGACGGGG
rnacentral:rRNA from 1 species